GGAUAUGCAAGAAGAAAUAAAAGAGAGAAGGUUUGCCGAGGCAACAGGUUGGAUAGUUUGCCAUCUUGUAUGCCAUAGCAAUUCAAGAAAACGACAGAGUCAACAUUCAACACAUACCAGUUUUAGCCCAACUUUACUUAUACCAGAAAAAUCUGCCUAAAAAAGAUGAGAAGAUAUCAAGGGCUGUUGGAGCUAUUCUAGGAAGAAAAAGCCUAUAAAAAGUCGAAGGAGAAAGCCCUAAGUGUGAAGAUCCAGAGGCAACAAUUGAGGGUAGUGGCUGAGUAGAGACGAAAAGGGGAGACCAGAGGUAGUCUCUUUCAGCCAUCACAAGACGCUGUGCUGUUGGAUUGAAGAUUGAUUUGGUGAUAGUUACCUUCCUAAGUUCUUCAUUUAUUUCUUAUUCUGUUCACUGUGAAUUAAUUUGAUCAAAACGAUGUUAGGUGUUAUUUCAAACAUGAAUUUUAAUCGUCGACCCAUGAGCUAAAUCUCAUAGGGUUGGGAUUACAUGAUGGAAACUUUUAUUUUCUCUAAUAUUUG
rnacentral:lncRNA from 1 species